rnacentral:tRNA from 1 species
UCCCUGGUGGUCUAGUGGUUAGGAUUCAGCGCUCUCACUGCCAUGGCCCGGGUUCGAUCCCAGUCAGGGAA